UAUUGCACAAUGGGCGCAAGCCUGAUGCAGCCAUGCCGCGUGUAUGAAGAAGGCCUUCGGGUUGUAAAGUACUUUCAGCGUGGAGGAAGGGAGUAAAGUUAAUACCUUUGCUCAUUGACGUUACCCGCAGAAGAAGCACCGGCUAACUCCGUGCCAGCAGCCGCGGUAAUACUGAGGGUGCAAGCGUUAAUCGGAAUUACUGGGCGUAAAGCGCACGCAGGCGGUUUGUUAAGUCAGAUGUGAAAUCCCCGGGCUCAACCUGGAACUGCAUCUAUACUGGCAAGCUUAGUCUCGAGGGGGGGGAGAUUCCAGGUGAGCGGUAAAUGCGAAGUCUGAGAAUCCGGUGGCGAUGCGGCCCCCUGGCAACGCUGCGUAAGG
rnacentral:rRNA from 1 species